UCUUCCUUUUUCUUUCCAUUCUUUUGAAUUUUCUUUUUUUUUUUUUUUUUUCCUGUUACAGCUUCUUAGUUGUUUGUAAAGUCAGAAUUUCAGGAAGGCUUCCCUGUGCAUUUGCACCAGAUGAAUGUUUGAUGUUAUGAAAAGCUUUUCCAUAUCAUCAAAACUAAUUUGUAGAUUUUUGCAUGGAAAAACAAAACAAACAAACAAACAAAAAAAUCAUCCAUUUCCCUUCAAACUAGACUGUGUUGCAGUACACAAGUUGCCAUAAUAGUAGAAAGCAGUAAAAUGUGGUAAUAAAACCUCAUCCUUUUCAUUUUCAAAGAUAACAUGAAGACCUUUGCAUGUGGUAAUCUCCAGCAUAGUUCAUUUUUAGAUUUUGUUGAGUCCUGUAACCAAAAUGUUUCUGUUGUGGUAGGAUACCGUGCUGUGUUUCAAUGUUACUUGUUUUCAAACUUUGUUUUCUAUGAAAAUGAUAUGGAAACGUCUAAAAAUGAAAUUUGGUGCAUAUGUACUGCUGAAUAAAGAGCGAAAAAAAGAGGUGUGAAUAGAUGUACAAAUCAAGUCAUGGUUUGAACACCUUUAAUAUGCCUAAUCCAAUUGUUUUAGACUCUUUUUAUCUUAGAUGUAGGCAGCCAUGAACAAUCUAUUUUGAGCCACUUUAGAGAGAAAAAAAAAAAUAAAAAAAAAAACCUUUGUAUUUUUAAAACUUGCACAAAAAGGAUGCAAGUGUUUUUAUAAUUGGAGGAAUGCCUCAGUUUUGAGGUGGUGCACACUAAAUUCAAGGUGAUGUUACAAAUUUGUACAAAGUGAACUCUUGAUAAGGUGGCUCAUAGUAGGAAAUGCUGUGCCUUCCCCUUUGAGCACAAGUGUUGCAUGAACAACAGUUUGCUAUAAUAAAACAUCCCAGGUUAGCCACCAUUAGCAUCUAUAUCUACCUUGUGUUUUCAAAUCAGCUGGUAAUUCUGAAACACUGUAGAAUGGAUAAAGAUUAUUUUGUGAUCAUAACUCUUUGUUGGACUAGAGUAUUUUUGCAGCAUUCCUUGUCAUCAGAAACAUGAGUUUAAAGUUUAAAACUAGAAGCAGCGGAAAACUAGCUUGUGAAUUUAUCCAAGUAGAGUGCAGGCUAGGCUGUCUUGGGGAAAUAAACAAUAAAACUUGCAAUUCUGCUGCUCUGCCUGUUUCUUUAUUAAAUAUUCACAUUUUUCAUCCUAAAACACAGAGAUGAUUUGAAGAAAGUCACUUUGAAAAUGUGAUUUUAAAUUUUAAAAAUGAUUUUAGAUUUUAAAGAUUUUAAUUUUCACUUUUAAAAUCGCUUUUUAAAGGCUUUUUUUGAGGUUGUUUUACCUGUUAAGUGUUUUGUGUGUUGCAGGCUGGAGUUAUUUUGCUGAAAAUGUUUAAAAAUAACAAUUUUACUUCAGUUUUACUGAAUUAACUCUGUGUAUUCACUAAAUAAAUCAGGGCUGUUUUCAUGGAAUCCACGGAGGAGGGAAAUGAAAUCCUUUUUCUGGAAGUUGCAACGUUCCAAGGAAAAUUCUAACCAGUAAAAUACAAUUUUCACCCUUUGUGAGGGGUUUUCCAUAGGGAACAGGUGUUUGUGGCAACUUCUGGUUUUCUACAAACAAAAACACCACCAAAAUUAAAUAUUUAAUGCCAAAAAAUGCCCUUUUGGGCACUUCUUGGAUAACAUAACUCCAGAAAAUUCCCUUGGGCUGCUGCUGGCCCGGCUUUUUCCCUUUUGGGGAGGAUUUUUAACAGGGAAAUUCUCUUCCCCUGUCGCUGUUACUUCACCAAAAUGUGGGAAUGUGAAAUUUUCCAGCCUCCACAGGGUGGCACCACUGGAGCUCUCCAGGAACAAACCUGAAGCUGCUUUGUGAGAUGCCUUUUUUGUCCAAAAUUUGAAUUUUUGAAGUGAUUACAUUGUUGGGGAAAGGGGGAUUUGUUGGGAAAUCUUGGGAUAAAAACAAGAAAAAAUUUGGGAAUACUGAUCACUGAGUGUGGAUGUUGCAUCCAUAUUUAUAUGUUAGUUAUAUUAAAAUAUCCUCUAUUAUAAUCUUUAUCCUAUUUGUAUAUAUAUAUAAUAUACUCUACUUUGGAGUAGGAAAUUAUCUUUUCAUCUGAGUUUAGGAGAGCAAGUAGAAAAAUAUUUAAAGUAUUAAAAGGACAAAAUUAAAUCUACAAAUCAGCUGUGCCAGGUGGGAAUUUUUUCUUUUAAGGAAAAAAACAGCUACCCUGGAAUUUUAGGAUCUGGGAAGAAGAAGAAGCUGAGUGGAAAGGGAUUUAUUGGGAAAAGUUGGAAUUAUCCCUGGCUGUUUCCAGCAUUCCCUGGGCAGACCUCAUCCCAUCCUCCUUCCCAGAUAUUCCAGGUAAAUUGGGAAUUUCUGCUCUGGGAGUGGGACAGGCUGGUAAAAAUCCAAAUUUCUGCAUGGAACAGUCAGCUAGUGACCAAAUGAAACCCUGGCAGAGACAAUUCCUCACUUUAGGAUGUCUUCAGAUUAAAACUGGGAGACUUUUUACCACUUUUAACUAUAAAUGUUUCCUCAGCUCUGCGUGUCACCAAAUUCCUGGCAGGAAAGCUGCUCCUGAGGCUGGAAGCAAUUAGAGGAAUUCUGCAUCUGGAUCAAAUCUUGAUUUAAUUCCUGGAAUGGCAGUUUGCACUUGAAAUGCUGCUUCAUCUUGAAUUCUUAAUGUAAGUACAUAAAAGAGAUGAAAACCAA